AUACUUCACCGUCGGGCAACGUGGUUGCGUUUUGCUGCACGUUGAUGGCUACAAAUUCGUAAAGAAUCGUAAGGGGGCAUACAAAACCUAUUGGAUCUGCGCUAAAAAGGGAAGUACAGCCUGCAAAGCUAGAGUCAUCACCCCGGCAAACAGUGAGGAGAAAAAAGUUCCCACGUUGAUAGCCCGCAGCGGAACACAUAAUCACCCUGUAUUCGUAGAGCGAAAAUCCCGCAGUUCUGCCACACAUAGGAUUUUACUUUUCGAAGACCCAUAGUUAAAUAAAUCUAUCUCAACUGAAACUUUGUGUUUCGUGCAAUCGUUUUGAAUCCUGAAGAGUGUCGCUUUUGCAUGAGUUUUGGAUUAAUGGAUUUCUAUUUUCCUUUAUAGAUGACAACGACGUUGACCAGAUUUACUUCAUUGCGGAGAUCAUCGGUUCUGGUUCUGCAGAGGGAAUGAAAACUGCGAAAAUUCCCGCAAAGAAGAAAAGUAGAUCCAAAUCCGCAACGAUGCCUUCGGCAAACAAUGAAAUGUUCAAUUUUGAAAGCGAUGGUUCACCUUCGAAGCCCACCUACACAACCGGCCGGGGAAAUAACGUUCUCAACUACCAGGGCCACCGCUACAUCAAGAACAAUGCGCACAGCGGGAAAAUUUACUGGAAGUGUACCAAAUGGCACAGUGGGUGCAAAGGACGUGCCAUUACCAACGUGCUGAUUCCGGGCUUGGUUGUUCUGAAGAAUACGCACAACCACGAACCAUCGUAAUUUCAUCAACGGCGGUUUUUGAUCUUGAGCCAAAUAAAAAUGAACAGAAUUGAUCGACCUUCCUCAUAUUUUCCAACCAUGAUUUUUAAGUAAUAUUCGUUUAGCUAUCUUAAGCUCAUAAGCUCCCGCAAUUCCAAUGGUUGAGAAGUCAGUUUCUUUUUUUUUUUGGUUUUUUUUAAUGUGUAUUUUAACUUAAAUGCUAAUUCUACACUCAAGUCAUCUUUGUGAACUUUAAAGUGGAUAAAAUACCGCAGCAACUUCUUGAGAACCUCUUGUUGAAAUUUCUGAAAAAAUCGCCACAAACUUGAUGAAUCGUCAUGUAGAAAAAAAUCAUCCCAGUAAAAUAAUGCUAACUUGCACUGCAAUCGUUUUAUGAAUUUCCUUUUCACGUGGUCCCUAAUGUUCAUUCAAUCUAGUACUACAUCGAAUAAUGCAUCAACUCUUAAGUGCCCUUUCAUACCAACUUUAUGCAAUCGCAGCCAUUUCUUGCAUUGCCUAAUUUUAGCCGUGAAACAUCCAGUCAAAGCGAUUGUUACUUGUUUGUGGAUAACGGAAUAACAACAUGCAGUACUGGAAAUACAAUUAGUACCAUAACUGCAUGCAUAGUCGUGAUCGACGAAAUAAAUCUAUCACCAUGAGACGUCAUCGGGCAUCGUCGGAGGCAGUAGUAGUAGUAGUAAUUAACUUGCCCACGGUACCACGACAGGUGAAAUUCUUCCUUAACAAUACCUUCCUCAGAAGAAGCAGCAGACCAUUGGCUGUCGCAGGAUUCUUCGAACAAUCUGUACAGUCUAGAUCAUGAUCAAACAAGAGAGAAUAAAACCGUUGUUUUGAGCUGUUGUUGUUCGUUAAGUUUUGUAAUACAUGAUUACUCUAGUACUUCACAGUAAUUCCUACAAAACAUGACAUUUUAUCAUUUUCCACAGAAUCCUCCAGGAGGAAGCUUUACGAAAGGUUUUUGCUUCCGAAAGCCGGAAUGGAAGUGGCCCGGUUCGGGAUCAGCCAACGAGGAGCGAAGAAACUGAUCUGCCAUGGAUACGAGUACGUCAAGGAUCGAGACUUUCCGGAUUCGACCAAUUGGCGCUGUGCUUUGUUCCGUCGGCAGAAGUGCCGCGCUUGUGCCAUAACCAAAAUCAUAGACGGUAUUACCUACGUAAGGCUUUCGAACGAUGCCCACAGCCAUGAUGUCCGGAUGUACCGGAGGCAUCCAGUGAUUAUUACGAAAGCGGAUGAAAUGGAGUCUGUAUAGGAGAAAAGUAGUUUCUUCGUUGAAUUAUUGUGAGAAAAAUAUACGUAUAUCAGAAUGGGUUCACUGCACUGUUUUAACUAUGUUUUCUUUAGUGGUUCCAAUGACGUACUAGAUUACUACUGCACUAAUACGAACUAUUCGCAUUUUUAGGUGUUUUCGAACCGGCUGUAUUCGGAACUACUCGUCGUGGUCAACAGAAACUAAUACACAAUGGGCAUGCGUACACCAAGGAUCGACAGUCGGCGAAGACUUGCAACUGGAAAUGUUCGCUCUUCACCCGGUACAAGUGUAAGGCACGUGCCGUUACGAGGGACAUCAAUGGCGUGGUGUACGUGAAAGUCACCAACACGUUACACUACCACCCGGUGGAGCAGUACAAGAUCAACUACCGAAGGCUGGCCGUCAACCCAAUGAGCCUGGCGAACACUUUUAUCCCGCAUGUCAAGGAUGAGUCGUUUUGAGAUGUGCAAGUAUCGAUUAUAAGUAAGAGUAGGGUUUCUCGUCGCAAAUAAAUUAUGUGUUUUAGUGUUAUUCUAGUACUUCAGUAGAUAUAUUCACCCUAAUGAAACACUCUGUAAGAUGACCUCCGAUGACCAAUUAUUAUUUACUAGGAGUAGAGAUGAUUCUACUGCAGUUCUAGUACGUCAUUGUCAUACACUAAACUAUUCUGUACUUUUAGAUGACAAAGCUGUGUUCACCGAACGAGCCCAGUACGAGUACACCUCCCGAGGAACGCAGCGCUUGCUUCAUGGCGGAUAUUACUUCAACAAAAACAAAACCAACGAAUCGAGCGGGCGGGUGAACUGGAAGUGCCAGUUUUACCAACGGCUGCGCUGCAAAGCAAGAGCCAUCACAAAGAACAUCGACGGAUACGAUUACGUACGCGUCACCCACGAAGAGCACACCCAUCGCCAGGAUCUCACCGAGGAUGAGUUCCGUCGUCCCAAACGGAAAAGAGAUUUCUGAGUUAGGAAGUUUGGGAAAGUAACUGCGACACAAUCAUUUGAUGUAGAAUUGCAUGCCAAUGAGUUUUAAUAAAAACUUAUUUAUUUUUCAUUGUGUGAAAUUACGCUCCGUAAUGGUUUUGUUCUAGUACCUCGUUUUUAGUAAUAGCCUAAUAGUUUAGAACGACCUCAUCAAAUUAUUAUUUUCUUGUUCACUGUGGAGUGACUUGAGCUAUUACCAAUUUAAAUUUAUUUUCAGGCUGUUUCAACUUGAAAAAAAAGAAAUGCAUCGAAGCGAUUGUGUAAAUCUAGUACUCCAAUAGAAAAAAAAACCUUAUAACGGCCGAAAGAACCCAUUUGCUCAAAAGAAGAUGACAUUCUAAUCCAUAUUUUAUCAUAUUUACGUAGCUCUAACCUAUUCAUAAUGAUUCAUCCAACCUAUCCCAAACAGUUAAGCUGAAAAUUGUUCAACAUUCGACACGCAAAUCGGACGAGCACUACGACGAUGAUGAUGAAGACGGCGAUGAGGAUGACGAAGCGAAGACCCAAUUCCCGUUGGACCUGAAGAUGGUGGUGGGCCGCAAGGGACGCCCAAUGCUGCUGAUGGGUGGCCACGCCUUUUUCCGCAACAACACCCACAAAAGCAAAACCUACUGGCUGUGUGCCAAGAGCCGUUCGCUGAAGUGUCGCGCCCGAAUCAUCACCCUGGACGGCAGCGCCGGACUGAUCCUCAAGAAUCAGGUUCAUAAUCAUCCAGCGGCGUUGGAAAGGUCCUAGGCGAGGAUAAGAGUUAUCGAGUUUGUGUGACGCUGUACCAGAGCGUUCUGGUACUUGAACAAUUUUUCGAUGUUCUCUACAUAAUAAGUAACUACAGUUAUCGAAUACGUUACGGAGGACAAGGCCAAUAAUGGAAAACCGAUCAAGCCCACCCGCUCCAAGCGGACCAAACCCAAGCACAACGUAAAGGAGAUUAUAAACAAUACCCAAGGAGUCCCCGUGGUGUACCAGAACACACGUUUCGGAGCGGCUCAGGUACUCUUGGAGAACAUGGUAUACUCGUUCACCUACACGAAGAACCAAAUAAGCCACUACAGAUGCAGCCGAUACAGGAGCCAACAGUGCCCGGCCGAGGUAGUUGUCAACAACAAGCUGGUCUACUAUCUCUGUGCUGCCCAUAAUCACGAUUUGGCUACCGGUCAGCAGUUGGAUGGUAUCUGCAGGUCGUAUCAAGCUAGAGAUUCGACGUAGGUGGUGAUUGGAUGUGGUUGUAAUGUACUGGAAUGGAGAAAAGUAUGUACAGCAUUCCUAGAUGACCAGUAAAGUAUGCGUUGACCUGAUUCCUUCGGGGCCGGAGAAGUCCCCCUCCGAUAUCAUCUAGCGAUGGUUGGCUAUGCCUGGUGGAAUCGCCUAAAUUUGUCCAAAUUUAUGUCAUACUUCUUGAAUAAUUUCAUUGGCAUUUAUAUUUAAGAUUGCAAAACAUACAGAAGUCAUAACAUGAUUAUUUACAUAGCUACGUAAAGUACUAGAUUAAGGAAGAACACAAAAUCAAAUACAAUAUUCCUACACUAUCAAGAAAGUUUUGUUUAUGAUUUUGUUAAACAGUGUUGAAUUUACAAUUAAUCAAUGAGAAUUGUUACUCUAACGCCACAAUCAUUCCAGAUGACCGUGAAAUCACCUUCAUUGUGGGAAGACUCGGCAACAUGCAGUUGAUCAUCGACGGUCACCUGUACACCCGGUCUCAAAUCAGGGAACGCAUCAUCAUUUGGCACUGCUCUCGGCAAAGAUCUGGGUAAUUUAGGCAUUCGAUGUACAUAUUUAGAAUAACU